rnacentral:rRNA from 1 species
CGCAGGCUGCAACUCGCCUGCGUGAAGUUGGAAUUGCUAGUAAUCGCGGAUCAGCAUGCCGCGGUGAAUACGUUCCCGGGCCUUGUACACACCGCCCGUCACACCAUGGGAGUUUGUAACACCCGAAGUCAGUAUCCUAACCGCAAGGGGGGAGCUGCCGAAGGUGGGAUAAGCGACUGGGGUGAAGUCGUAACAAGGUAGC